rnacentral:misc_RNA from 1 species
GUGAAUCAUCGAAUCUUUGAACGCACCUUGCGCUCUCCUGGACUUACAUCCGGAGAGCAUGCCUGUCUGAGGGCCGCGAAUACCUUCGAACGACCACUUUUGCAAAAGAGUGGGCGGAUCGGUACUGAGAAGUUUUGCCAUUUGCACUGGCUUUCUCGAAAUACAACAGCUGGACUGCUCAUGCUUGGAGGAGGAGUGCCCUCUCCCUCUGUGAUUUGAUAAUUAUCAACUUUGCAGAGGUGAUGGUGCUUUUUUUCGCCCCAACUGUUGCGGCUGGCUUUGAACCACCCUAUGUGCGCA